rnacentral:tRNA from 1 species
GCCUCGUCUGGCUCUCGGGGGAGAGCACCCGCCUUGUAAGCGGGAGGGGACGGUUCGACUCCGUCAUGAGGCUCCA